UACGAAGGGGGCUAGCGUUGCUCGGAAUUACUGGGCGUAAAGGGCUCGUAGGCGGCCAACUAAGUCAGACGUGAAAUCCCUCGGCUUAACCGGGGAACUGCGUCCGAUACUGGUUGGCUUGAGUUUGGGAGAGGGAUGCGGAAUUCCAGGUGUAGCGGUGAAAUGCGUAGAUAUCUGGAGGAACACCGGUGGCGAAGGCGGCAUCCUGGACCAAUACUGACGCUGAGGAGCGAAAGCCAGGGGAGCAAACGGG
rnacentral:rRNA from 1 species